ensembl:lncRNA
CCCUAAAUAGAGGCUCCUCUCCCGGGGAUGCUGAACAGUCUCCAGGGCUUCUUGGUGGUGGGGGGCACUCCUGAAUCUUGGGGACAGGGCUCUGUGGGGCCAGUUGGCUCCAUGAGCAGGAGGAAGAGGGGACCCAGCAGGCCUGCGGCCGCCCGCCUCUCUGCCGGAGCUUGAGCCUGUCCAGGCCCCGCGGCCCAGGCCUUAUUUGCUGCACUUCAUCCUGGAAAACCUCUCUAAUGAACAGGCCAGCUAAGAACUGAUGCAUUGGCCUAAUGAAGUGGGAAAGGAAGAGUUGGGAAAAUGAGAGCCCACAGCCAGGACAGCCCAGCCACCCUCCCCAUAAGGAAACCCUCAAACCAACAUGGCAACAGCAGGCAUCUGCACUGGACCUAAAGAUGCUUCCUGACCCUGUCGUGGCAGGAGGGAGAGGAGGUGCUGUGUUAGCAAGAUGCCUGGAAUCUCCUUUUUGGGUCCUCCGACACCUUGAAUGGUCCAAGGAUCCCUAGGUCAUCUUCAACCCACAGGGGAAUGGAGCAAUAGAGCACACCUACCCCCACUCCUUGGAAUAUUACGCAGCCGACAAUCAUGUGAGAACAAGCUCCAUGUGAGAUCAGUGGGCAGUCUUCAAGAUGUUUUGGAGAGAAAGGAGCCUGACAGAGCGAAUGGCACGUGCUGAUUUGGAGGGAACAGAUAGAAGCUCACGAUGUAGUGUGAGCUGAAGCUGAAGGCCCUGGAUGCCUGGAGGGAAGAGAACCAGGAAGUGCGGACCACAGUCCCACAGACACAAGGAACUGAGUUUAGCUAGCUAUCUGAAUGAGGCUGGAAGAGGAUUCUUCCCAGACCCUCCCAUAAGGAUCAGCUCUGCAGACACCUUGACUUCGUCAUCCUAAGCUGAGGACCUGUCUGGAUCAUGCUGUAUCUGGAGCUCUGAACCACAAAAAGAAACUGAAAGCCCUAGGACGACCGGGAUCUUUCUGCUUUGUUCCGGGCUGUCUCCACAGGGCCUAGAACCGAGUCUGCACACAGUAGGUGCUAAUACAUGUUAGCAGAGUUCACUGAAUGCAGUGGGCUGCGUGCUAUGAAGGUGAGUGGACAAGCACAUUUAAAAAUAGUGAAUGAGGCAUCAAUUAAAGGUGUUCCCAGGUGGCUCAGUGGUAAAGAAUUCGCCUGCCAAGCAAGAAACAUGUGUUCAAUCCCUGGACCAGGAAUAUCCUCUGGAAUAGGAAAUGGCAACCCACUCCAGUUAUCACUGCAGAUGGUGACUGCAGUCACGAAAUGAAAAGAUGCUCGCUCCCUGGAAGAAAAGCUGUGACAAACCUAGACAACAUAUUAAAAAGCAGAGACAUCACUUAGCCAACAAAAUGUCUGUUUAGUCAAAACUGUGGUUUUUCCAUUCGUUAUAUAUGGAUGUGAGAGUUGCACCAUAAAGAAGGCUGAAUGCCGAAGAACUGAUGCUUUCAAACUGUGGUGCUGAAGAAGACUCUUGAGAGUUCCUUAAAUAGCAAGAAGAUGAAACCAGUCAAUCCUAGAGGAAAUCAACCUUGAAUAUUCACUGGAAGAACCGAUGCUGAAGCUGAAGCCCCAAUACUUUGGCCACCUGAUGUGAAGAGCCGACCCACUGGGAAAGACUCUGAUGCUGGGAAAGACUGAGGGCAUAAGGAGAAGGGGAUGACAGGGGAUGAAAUGGUUGAAUGGCUUCACCAACUCAUGGACAUGAGUUUGAGCAAACUCCGGGAGAUGGUGAGGGACAGGGAAGCCUGGAGUUCUGCAGUCCAUGGGAUCACAAAGAGUUGGACACGGCUGAGCACACAAGCUGUUAGUCAUGGCUAUGUCACUGCCUCGUUGCUGAGAAAUCUGGAGCAACAAGCACAAAUAUUAUCUGGAAUUGGAGGGGCUCUCCUUUUGCACUUUUCAGAAGUCUGUAACCUUCCAGUGUUUUACUCUGAGGUUGUAUUUCUUUCUAUUCUUUUUGUUUUUUUUUUUAUAAUCACAGAAGCAAUACACCUCUGCAGCAUCACAUUCAAACAGAAAUAUGUAUGGAGUAAAAAGUAAAAUCUGUAUUCACCAGAGAGCACUCCUCAAACCAUGAAUUCCACGAAUGCCCCUUUCAUUGGAGCCCCCCACCCCAUGGGUUACACAUGAUGCCCCCACGUCCACCACAGACUAUAGUGAUGGAGGCCCAGGGCCAGACGGGUGUGGGUGAAGGCCUUGGAGAGGUCUGGGUCCUCUCCCCAUCUUGGCUAAGCCCAGAGCUUCCCCUCCCCUUGUGACCUGGAGAUGCAGCCCAGCGCAGGGACUGAGCACAUGGUCGCAGCCUCUACCUCCACAGUUCCAGCCAAGCAGACACUGGGGAACAAACAUCAGGAAGGUUGGGAACCCAUCACACGCGUCGUCCAAAACAGAAGUGAUACUCAGCGAUAAAUAAGUGUGAGAAGGGUCCAGAGCUCUGCUUUUUUCCCACGGUGACUUCCAUCGCUCUUUUGGAACACUCUUUCAUCGUCUUUUCUCAUUUUGUCAGAGCCACUGCUUUGCUGGUUUGGUAAGACCUGUCUGGUGAGGUGGGCCUGGUAUGUGGCAGGCCACCCCCUGGCCCCCCAGCCCCUGCAACCACCAAGUUCCUAUCGCUAUGGUUUGCCUGUGCUGGACCUGUCAUAUGAAUGGAAUCACGAGACGUGGUCUUUGGUGACUGGUUUCUGCCAGCUGCCAUCCUGUCGUCAAGGUUCACCUGUGUGAGCACAUAUCCGAAUUUCAUGUGUAGAAAACAAACAUGUGAUUCCCAAACGGGGAAAAGCAGGGAGGGAUUACCUGGGAGGCUCGGAUUUACAUAUACACACUACUAUAUAUCAAGUAGAUAACUAGUGAAGACCUACUAUGUAGCACAGGGGCCGCUACUCAGUGCGCUGUAAUGACCUAUGUGGGAAUAGAAUCUAAAAAAAGAGGGGACAUAUGUGUAAUUGAUUCACUUUGCUGUACAGCAGAAACUAACAUAACACUGUAAAUCAACUAUACUCCAAUAAAAAUUUUUAAAAGGCAAU